rnacentral:rRNA from 1 species
UACGUAGGGUGCAAGCGUUGUCCGGAAUCAUUGGGCGUAAAGCGCGUGUAGGUGGCUUGUUAAGUCGAAUGUGAAAUCCCUGGGCUCAACCGAGGAAGUGCAUCCGAAACUGGCAAGCUAGAGGACGGCAGAGGAAGGUGGAAUUCCAAGUGUAGAGGUGAAAUUCGUAGAUAUUUGGAGGAAUACCGGUGGCGAAGGCGGCCUUCUGGACCGGUCCUGACACUGAGACGCGAAAGCGUGGGGAGCAAACAGG